rnacentral:lncRNA from 7 species
CUGCAGACCUCCCCUCGCCUCAGCACUAUAAGGCCACUUCUCUAGUUUUCGAUGCGAUUGACCUUACCCCAUUGCCCAGAUUAAGAAAACCUAGCUGCCAUCACUAGAGGGAGAGCUUAGAGAGGCAAGUCAGAGAGCACGGCGCCACGCCGGGAAAUUCUAGGAUUGGGGCGUACCUCACCAACACUCGCAUCGAGGUGACCGCUUUGGUGCAGGGAGGUCGGGCGUAACACUCUCACUUGGUGCCGGAACUGGGAGCGUCACCAAUCGACCGUUGAUUCGAGCCAGGGCAUAGCGAAUCCUCGGCUCAUCGCCGCCGGGACAAAUCGCUACCUUCUGUCUUCUGUGCGGUAUGCUUUCCCCUGUU